rnacentral:rRNA from 1 species
GGCGCGAAAACUUUACAAUGCUGGGAACAGCGAUAAGGGAACCUCGAGUGCCAGGUUACAAAUCUGGCUGUCGUGAUGCCUAAAAAGCAUUAUAUAGCAAGGGCCGGGCAAGACCGGUGCCAGCCGCCGCGGUAACACCGGCGGCUCGAGUGGUAACCGUUAUUAUUGGGUCUAAAGGGUCUGUAGCCGGCCGGAUAAGUCUCUUGGGAAAUCUGGCAGCUCAACUGUCAGGCUUUCAGGGGAUACUGUCUGGCUCGAGGCCGGGAGAGGUGAGAGGUACUUCAGGGGUAGGGGUGAAAUCUUGUAAUCCUUGAAGGACCACCAGUGGCGAAGGCGUCUCACCAGAACGGAC